ensembl:miRNA MIR106B microRNA 106b
UAAAGUGCUUACAGUGCAGGUAAUGGUUAUGCCCUACAUACCGCAAUGUGAGCACUUCUGUC